CAAUAGCAUAUAUUAACGUUGUUGCGGUUGAAAAGCUCGUAGUUGAACUUUUGGUAGGAGCGACCUGGCCUUGGGCGCAUGCCCUUGUUUGCCGUGUGUCGUAUCUGGCCAUCCUUUUCCGCUUCGGCGGGAAUCCUUUACUGUGAGUAAACUGGAGUGCUCAAAACAAGACGUUUGUUUGGUACAUUAAAGCAUGGAAUAAUAAGAUAGGACCUGGUUACUAUUUUGUUGGUUUGCAUAGCUAGGUAAUGAUUAACAGGGACAGUUGGGGGUAUUCGUAUUUAAUUGUCAGAGGUGAAAUUCUUGGAUUUAUGAAAGACGAACGACUGCGAAAGCAUUUACCAAGGAUGUUUUCAUUAA
rnacentral:rRNA from 1 species